GCCUCGGUGGUGUAGUGGUCAAGACGCUCGCCUGGUAAACAGGAGGGCGUGGGUGCGAUCCCAAUCGAGGCA
rnacentral:tRNA from 1 species